rnacentral:rRNA from 1 species
AUUGAACGCUGGCGGCAGGCCUAACACAUGCAAGUCGAACGGUAGCACAGAGAGCUUACUCUCGGGUGACGAGUGGCGGACGGGUGAGUAAUGUCUGGGAAACUGCCCGAUGGAGGGGGAUAACUACUGGAAACGGUAGCUAAUACCGCAUAACGUCGCAAGACCAAAGUGGGGGACCUUCGGGCCUCACACCAUCGGAUGUGCCCAGAUGGGAUUAGCUAGUAGGUGGGGUAAUGGCUCACCUAGGCGACGAUCCCUAGCUGGUUUGAGAGGAUGACCAGCCACACUGGAACUGAGACACGGUCCAGACUCCUACGGGAGGCAGCAGUGGGGAAUAUUGCACAAUGGGCGCAAGCCUGAUGCAGCCAUGCCGCGUGUAUGAAGAAGGCCUUCGGGUUGUAAAGUACUUUCAGCGGGGAGGAAGGCGGUGAAGUUAAUAACUUCACCGAUUGACGUUACCCGCAGAAGAAGCACCGGCUAACUCCGUGCCAGCAGCCGCAGUAA